CUCAUUAAAAGAGUGCGUAAUAGCUCACUGGUCGAGUGACUCUGCGCCGAAAAUUUAACGGGGCUAAAUCGUACACCGAAGCUUGGGAUGUUAGAUGUUAGACAGUAGACAUUAGACAAUAGAUGAGGAGCUCAGAAAUGAACGGUUAUGAGAAAUUGCAGGUGUAUCAAAGAGGAUAUGCGGCAGCGAAAAGCGUUUACAGGAUGACGGAGAGUUAUCCGAAAGAAGAGCGCUAUGGAAUAACCGAUCAGAUGAGACGAGCAGCAGUAUCAGUAGCAUUGAAUAUCGCAGAAGGAUAUGCAAAGAAAGAUAGUCAGCCGGAAUUUAAAAGAUUUCUGGAAAUGGCAAAAGGUUCUGCAUAUGAAAUGAGUGUCUUGAUAGAUUUGUCAAGAGAUUUAGGAUAUAUCAAUGAUGAAAAGCAUGACAAAGCAUUAAAAGAGUAUGAAGAAAUCUCAAAGAUGCUGAGUGUACUGGUAAAGCGCAUAAGAUCCAAUAUCUAAAAUCUAAUAUCUAGCGUCUAACAUCUAACAUGGUAGGAGAGCGUUGAAUGCGGGGUGAAGUCAGAGCGAAAGCGCUGGUGGACUGCAUUGAAGUGAGAAUGCCGGAAUGAGUAGCGAGAUUUAUGUGAGAAUCAUAAAGGCCGAAAGACUAAGGUUUCAGAAGGAAGGUUCGUCCGCUUCUGGUUAGCCGGGAGCUAAGGUGAGGCCGAAAGGCGUAGCCGAUGCACAUACGGUGGAGAUUCCGUAGCCGUCAAAAUAUUUAAGCAAAGGGACACUUAUGAAGGGCAUGACCCGGGCGAUGGUAGCCCCGGGCGUAAGGGACCGAAAAUAAGUAGGGAAGCAUGUUUGGAAUAAGGCGAGAAAAGCUUUGUGAAUAUAUGAGACGUCCGUACCGCAAACCGACACAGGUAGUCAGGAAGAGGAUUCUAAGGCCAACGGGAGAAGGGUAGUUAAGGAACUCGGCAAAUUGACCCCGUAACUUCGGAAUAAGGGGCGGUGCGUAAGCACCCGCAGUGAAUAGGUCCAGGCGACUGUUUAUCAAAAACACAGCUCUCUGCUAAAUCGAAAGAUGACGUAUAGGGGGUGACACCUGCCCGGUGCUGGAAGGUUAAGAGGAGGAGUGCAAGCUCCGAAUUGAAGCCCCAGUAAACGGCGGCCGUAACUAUAACGGUCCUAAGGUAGCGAAAUUCCUUGUCGGGUAAGUUCCGACCCGCACGAAUGGUGUAACGAUCUGGACGCUGUCUCAACUGCCCACCCGGCGAAAUUGUAGUACCGGUGAAGAUGCCGGUUACCCGCGGCAAGACGGAAAGACCCCAUGGAGCUUUACUGUAACUUGAUAUUGGGUCUUGGUAUUCUAUGUACAGGAUAGGCGGGAGACUGUGAAACAUACACGCCAGUGUAUGCGGAGUCACCCUUGGGAUACCGCUCUUAGAGUACUGAGAUUCUAACCUGCGGCCGUGAAUCCGGUCGGGGGACAUUGUCAGGUGGGCAGUUUGACUGGGGCGGUCGCCUCCUAAAAGGUAACGGAGGCGCUCAAAGGUUAGCUCAGCACGGUCGGAAACCGUGCCUCUGAGUGUAAACGCAAAAGCUAGCCUAACUGCGAGGCUGACGGGCCGAGCAGUAACGAAAGUUGGAGUUAGUGAUCCGGCGGUAUGUGAAUGGAAAUGCCGUCGCUCAACGGAUAAAAGCUACCCUGGGGAUAACAGGCUGAUCUCCCCCAAGAGUCCACAUCGACGGGGAGGUUUGGCACCUCGAUGUCGGCUCAUCACAUCCUGGGGCUGGAGUAGGUCCCAAGGGUUGGGCUGUUCGCCCAUUAAAGUGGUACGCGAGCUGGGUUCAGAACGUCGUGAGACAGUUCGGUCCCUAUCUGUCGUGGGCGCAGGAUAUUUGAAAGGAGCUGUCCCUAGUACGAGAGGACCGGGAUGGACGCACCUCUGGUGCACCAGUUGUCACGCCAGUGGCACAGCUGGGCAGCUAUGUGCGGAACGGAUAAACGCUGAAAGCAUCUAAGCGUGAAGCCGCCUCCAAGAUAAGAUAUCCCAUAGCAUAAGCUAGUAAGACCCCUCAUGGACUAAGAGGUUGAUAGGCUGCAUGUGUAAGCGUGGUGACACGUUUAGCUUGGCAGUACUAAUAGGUCGAGGGCUUGACUU
rnacentral:rRNA from 1 species